rnacentral:rRNA from 1 species
GAAUGAAGGUCAAGCUGAAGACUUUACCAGACAAGCUGAGAGGUGGUGCAUGGCCGUCGCCAGCUCGUGCCGUGAGAUGUCCUGUUAAGUCAGGUAACGAGCGAGACCCUUGCCUCUAGUUGCCACCAUUACUCUCUGGAGUAGUGGGGCGAAUUAGCGGGACCGCCACAGUUAAUGUGGAGGAAGGAGAGGGCCACGGCAGGUCAGUAUGCCCCGAAACCCUGGGGCCACACGCGGGCUGCAAUGGUAGUGACAACGUGUUCCGAAUCCUAAAGGAGGAGGUAAUCAUCAAACGCUACCACAGUUAUGACUGAGGGCUGCAACUCGCCCUCACGAAUAUGGAAUCCCUAGUAACUGCGCGUCAUUACCGCGCGGUGAAUACGUCCCUGCUCCUUGCACACACCGCCCGUCGUUUCAUCGAAGUUGGCUUUUAGCGAGGUGACGUCUUGUUGGCGUUAUCGAACUUGAGGUCAGUGACGAGGGAAAAGUCGUAACAAGGUAACC